CUGGGCUGGACAACGGCGGACCGUCCUAGAAAUAGGAUUUUCCCUUCGGGGACUGCCGGUUCAGGUGCUGCAUGGCUGUCGUCAGCUCGUGCCGUGAGGUGUUGGGUUAAGUCCCGCAACGAGCGCAACCCUCGUCCUUAGUUGCCACCAUUCAGUUGGGCACUCUAGGGAGACUGCCGGCGUUAAGCCGGAGGAAGGUGGGGACGACGUCAAGUCAUCAUGGCCCUUAUGUCCAGGGCCACACACGUGCUACAAUGGACGGUACAAAGGGUCGCAAACCCGCGAGGGGGAGCCAAUCCCAAAAAGCCGUUCUCAGUUCGGAUUGGAGUCUGCAACUCGACUCCAUGAAGUUGGAAUCGCUAGUAAUCGCGGAUCAGCACGCCGCGGUGAAUACGUUCCC
rnacentral:rRNA from 1 species